rnacentral:rRNA from 1 species
GUUGAACGCUGGCGGCGUGCCUAAUACAUGCAAGUCGAGCGAACAGACGAGGAGCUUGCUCCUCUGACGUUAGCGGCGGACGGGUGAGUAACACGUGGAUAACCUACCUAUAAGACUGGGAUAACUUCGGGAAACCGGAGCUAAUACCGGACAAUAUAUUGAACCGCAUGGUUCAAUAGUGAAAGACGGUUUUGCUGUCACUUAUAGAUGGAUCCGCGCCGCAUUAGCUAGUUGGUAAGGUAACGGCUUACGAAGGCGACGAUGCGUAGCCGACCUGAGAGGGUGAUCGGCCACCCUGGAACUGAGACACGGUCCAGACUCCUACGGGAGGCAGCAGUAGGGAAUCUUCCGCAAGGGGCGAAAGCCUGACGGAGCAACGCCGCGUGAGUGAUGAAGGUCUUCGGAUCGUAAGACUCUGUUAUUAGGGAAGAACAAAUGUGUAAGUAACUAUGCACGUCUUGACGGUACCUAAUCAGAAAGCCACGGCUAACUACGUG